rnacentral:rRNA from 1 species
AUACGGAGGGUGCAAGCGUUAAUCGGAAUUACUGGGCGUAAAGGGUUCGUAGGCGGUUAUUUAAGUCAGAUGUGAAAGCCCCGGGCUCAACCUGGGAAUUGCAUCUGAUACUGGGUAACUAGAGUUUAAGAGAGGAGUGUGGAAUUUCCGGUGUAGCGGUGAAAUGCAUAGAGAUCGGAAGGAACAUCAGUGGCGAAGGCGGCGCUCUGGCUUAAAACUGACGCUGAGGAACGAAAGCGUGGGUAGCAAACAGGAUUAGAAACCCUAGUAGUCC